rnacentral:rRNA from 1 species
CUGGCGGCAGGCUUAACACAUGCAAGUCGAACGGUAACAGAGAAUAGCUUGCUAUUUUGCUGACGAGUGGCGGACGGGUGAGUAAUGCUUGGGAAUAUGCCUUAUGGUGGGGGACAACAGUUGGAAACGACUGCUAAUACCGCAUAACAUCUCCGGAUCAAAGUGGGGGACCUUCGGGCCUCACGCCAUAAGAGUAGCCCAAGUGGGAUUAGCUAGUUGGUAAGGUAAUGGCUUACCAAGGCGACGAUCCCUAGUUGGUCUUAGAGGAUGACCAGCCACACUGGAACUGAGACACGGUCCAGACUCCUACGGGAGGCAGCAGUGGGGAAUAUUGCACAAUGGGCGCAAGCCUGAUGCAGCCAUGCCGCGUGUGUGAAGAAGGCUUUCGGGUUGUAAAGCACUUUCAGCGAGGAGGAAAGGUUGUACUUUAAUAGAGUGCAGCUGUGACGUUACUCGCAGAAGAAGCACCGGCUAACUCCGUGCCAGCAGCCGCGGUAAUACGGAGGGUGCGAGCGUUAAUCGGAAUUACUGGGCGUAAAGCGCGCGUAGGUGGUUAAUUAAGUCAGAUGUGAAAUCCCAGGGCUCAACCUUGGAACUGCAUUUGAAACUGGUUGACUAGAGUUUUGUAGAGGGUGGUAGAAUUUCAGGUGUAGCGGUGAAAUGCGUAGAGAUCUGAAGGAAUACCAGUGGCGAAGGCGGCCACCUGGACAAAGACUGACACUGAGGCGCGAAGGCGUGGGGAGCAAACGGGAUUAGAUACCCCGGUAGUCCACGCAGUAAACGAUGUCUAUUAGAAUUUUGUGGCUAUAUGCCGUGGGAUUCAAAGCUAACGCAUUAA